GGCUCACUGCAACCUCCACCUCCUGGGUUCAAGCGAUUCUCCUGCCUCACCCUUCCAAGUAGCUGGGAUUACAGGUGCCCGCUACCAGCCCAGCUAAUUUUUGUAUUUUUAGUAGAGACGGAGUUUCACCAUGUUGGCCAGGCUGGUCUCGAACUCUGUCAAGCCACUGCGCCCGGCCCAUUCUUUCCUUUUAGAGGAAGAAACCCGCUCUGGAUGGCCGGCUGGGGAGGUCUGGUCCUGCCCAGUUAAUGCUCCACCCUGGAUCACCCAAGCCUGAGGCUUUGACCCAGAGCUGGGGUUCGCUCGCAGAACCCCCCAGACACACCGACCUGGGUGAGGUAGCGGAUCUGAGCUGACAGCUCCGCCUCCACGUGUUGCACUGAAGCGGUGAAGGCCGCCGCCUGCCGGUCUAGGAGCCGCUCGUUAGUUUUUUCCUUGGACAAUUCUAGGAUCACAGUACCUGCCAGGGCGGAGAGAGGG
ensembl:lncRNA novel transcript, antisense to MED11